rnacentral:lncRNA from 1 species
UCAUUUGUCUUCUCUCCCUGCUUAGUUUUGUUGUCCAUGAGUCAAUGCUGUGUGAAUGCUGAUUGGCUGAAGGCAGAGAACACUAUUGAUCGGAUGCGUCUGGAAGCCAAGGCAGUCUAUAUAAGACCUGAGCCCUAGGACCAUGCCUCAGGACUACCUGGUAUGAUGACUCCUUGCUGUCCCCAGUCCACCUGGCCGUGCUGCUGCUCCAGUUUCAACUGUUCUGCCUGCGGCUAUGGAACCCUGACCUGUUCACCGGACGUGCUUGUUGCACCCUCGAUAACUACUAUGAUUAUUAUUAUUUGACCAUGCUGGUCAUUUAUGAACAUUUUAACAUUUUAACAUCUUGACUAUGUUCUGUUAUAAUAUCC